GGAGCAACACAAUGAAGGGUGUGAGUCAUGAGACAAAGAGGCACAAAAAGUAUGGGAGGUGGGACAAUGUGGUACAGGAAGCAGGAGACUCUGACCCCCCUGUCCCCCUCUAUAGUGUGCUAAACAACAGAAACAAAUACGAUGUUUGAAGAUUUGGGUAUUGAUGUGAUAAGGCAGCGUUUGAGGGUUACAAUGCCUGUAUUUUUGCUCAUGGUCAGAUGGGGGCCAGUAAAUCCUACAGUAUGAUGUGACAGGAGAUCCAAACCUUCAUUAAUCGUGCAUGGAAAUCAGAGAGAGGUGAAGGCUCAACUUCAUCCAUAUCCAAAUGUUAAACUGUUUGCUCUAAGUUUGAUGUUUGUGCAGUCACUAGUAUCAAGAUAUGUCCAGAAGUGCAUACAGUAACCAAAAUGGCGCAAAUU
rnacentral:lncRNA from 1 species